AGACCGGGCGAAGGCUUACACAUGCAGUCGAGCGGGGAAAGGUAGCUUGCUACUGGACCUAGCGGCGGACGGGUGAGUAAUGCUUAGGAAUCUGCCUAUUAGUGGGGGACAACAUUCCGAAAGGAAUGCUAAUACCGCAUACGUCCUACGGGAGAAAGCAGGGGACCUUCGGGCCUUGCGCUAAUAGAUGAGCCUAAGUCGGAUUAGCUAGUUGGUGGGGUAAAGGCCUACCAAGGCGACGAUCUGUAGCGGGUCUGAGAGGAUGAUCCGCCACACUGGGACUGAGACACGGCCCAGACUCCUACGGGAGGCAGCAGUGGGGAAUAUUGGACAAUGGGGGGAACCCUGAUCCAGCCAUGCCGCGUGUGUGAAGAAGGCCUUAUGGUUGUAAAGCACUUUAAGCGAGGAGGAGGCUACUAGUAUUAAUACUACUGGAUAGUGGACGUUACUCGCAGAAUAAGCACCGGCUAACUCUGUGCCAGCAGCCGCGGUAAUACAGAGGGUGCGAGCGUUAAUCGGAUUUACUGGGCGUAAAGCGUGCGUAGGCGGCCAUUUAAGUCAAAUGUGAAAUCCCCGAGCUUAACUUGGGAAUUGCAUUCGAUACUGGAUGGCUAGAGUAUGGGAGAGGAUGGUAGAAUUCCAGGGGUAGCGGUGAAAUGCGUAGAGAUCUGGAGGAAUACCGAUGGCGAAGGCAGGCAUCUGGUCUAAUACUGACGCUGAGGUACGAAAGCAUGGGGAGCAAACAGGAUUAGAUACCCUGCUAGUCCAUGCCGCAAACGAUGUCUACUAGCCGCUGGGGCCUUUGAGGCUUUAAUGGCGCAGCUAACGGGAUAAGUACACCGCCUGGGGAGUACGGUCGCAAGACUAAACCUCAAAUGAAUUGACGUGUGCCCGCACAA
rnacentral:rRNA from 1 species